rnacentral:tRNA from 1 species
GCGCCCGUAGCUCAACUGGAUAGAGCAACGGCCUUCUAAGCCGUAGGUUGUGAGUUCGAUUCUCGCCGGGUGCGCCA